rnacentral:rRNA from 1 species
AGAGUUUGAUCAUGGCUCAGAACGAACGCUGGCGGCGCGUCUUAAGCAUGCAAGUCGAACGGUAGAGUGACUUCGGUCACUUGAGAGUGGCGAACGGGUGAGUAACACGUAGGUAAUCUACCUUUGGAUUGGGGAUAGCCCAUGGAAACAUGGGGUAAUACCGAAUACGAUCUUUUAGGAGAGGAAAGGCCCUUAGGGGCCGUCCGGAGAUGAGCCUGCGGUCCAUUAGCUAGUUGGUAGGGUAAUGGCCUACCAAGGCUACGAUGGAUAGCCGGCCUGAGAGGGUGUACGGCCACACUGGGACUGAGACACGGCCCAGACUCCUACGGGAGGCAGCAGCUAAGAAUCUUCCGCAAUGGGCGAAAGCCUGACGGAGCGACGCCGCGUGAAUGAUGAAGGCCGGAAGGUUGUAAAGUUCUUUUCCUGGGGGAGAAUAAUGCAAGGAGGGAAUGCCUUGCAGAUGACGUGAACCAGGGAAUAAGCCCCGGCUAAUUACGUGCCAGCAGCCGCGGUAACACGUAAGGGGCAAGCGUUGUUCGGAUUCAUUGGGCGUAAAGGGCGCGUAGGCGGCGUGAAAAGUCUGGUGUGAAAUACUCCGGCUCAACCGGAGAGACGCGCUGGAAACUGCCAUGCUAGAGUCUAGGAGGGGGAGCUGGAAUUCCUGGUGUAGGGGUGAAAUCUGUAGAUAUCAGGAAGAACACCGGUGGCGAAGGCGAGCUCCUGGCCAUAGACUGACGCUGAGGCGCGAAAGCGUGGGGAGCGAACAGGAUUAGAUACCCUGGUAGUCCACGCUGUAAACGAUGUGCACUAGGUGUUGGUCCCGCUUUGAUAUGAGGGGAACGGAAGUUCCUCCGUCGAUGGAGAGGAGAGAGGUGUCGGACAGGCAGACACCUUCUGGUUACUCGAUCGGACUCAGUAUACUGAGAUGGAAAAGCGGGAUCAGUGCCGUAGCUAACGCGUUAAGUGCACCGCCUGGGGAGUAUGCUCGCAAGGGUGAAACUCAAAGGAAUUGACGGGGGCCCGCACAAGCGGUGGAGCAUGUGGUUAAUUCGAUGAUACGCGAGGAACCUUACCAGGGUUUGACAUAUAGCGGACGGCUACAGAGAUGUAGCUUCCCUUCGGGGCUGCUAUACAGGUGCUGCAUGGCUGUCGUCAGCUCGUGCUGUGAAGUGUUGGGUUAAGUCCCGCAACGAGCGCAACCCUUGCUGUCUGUUGCCAACAGGUAAUGCUGGGGACUCAGACGGUACUGCCGGUGACAAACCGGAGGAAGGUGGGGACGACGUCAAGUCAUCAUGGCCCUUAUGUCCUGGGCUACACACGUGCUACAAUGGCCGGUACAGAGCGACGCGAGACCGCGAGGUGGAGCAAAUCGCAGAAAACCGGUCCCAGUUCGGAUUGAAGUCUGAAACCCGACUUCAUGAAGGUGGAAUCGCUAGUAAUCGCGCAUCAGCAUGGCGCGGUGAAUAUGUUCCCGGGCCUUGUACACACCGCCCGUCACACCACCCGAGUUGGGGGUACCCGAAGUAGCUAGUCUAACCGGUAACGGAGGACGGUGCCGAAGGUAUGCCUGGUAAGGGGGGUGAAGUCGUAACAAGGUA